UUAGCAUAUCAAUAAGCGGAGGAAAAGAAACCAACAGGGAUUGCUCUAGUAACGGCGAGUGAAGCAGCAAUAGCUCAAAUUUGAAAUCUGGCGUCUUCGACGUCCGAGUUGUAAUUUGUAGAGGAUGCUUCUGAGUAACCACCGACCUAAGUUCCUUGGAACAGGACGUCAUAGAGGGUGAGAAUCCCGUAUGCGGUCGGAAAGGUGCUCUAUACGUAGCUCCUUCGACGAGUCGAGUUGUUUGGGAAUGCAGCUCUAAAUGGGAGGUAAAUUUCUUCUAAAGCUAAAUAUUGGCCAGAGACCGAUAGCGCACAAGUAGAGUGAUCGAAAGAUGAAAAGCACUUUGGAAAAGAGAGUUAAAAAGCACGUGAAAUUGUUAAAAGGGAAGGGAUUGCAACCAGACUUGCUCGCGGUGUUCCGCCGGUCUUCUGACCGGUCUACUCGCCGCGUUGCAGGCCAGCAUCGUCUGGUGCCGCUGGAUAAGACUUGAGGAAUGUAGCUCCCUCGGGAGUGUUAUAGCCUCUUGUGAUGCAGCGAGCGCCGGGCGAGGUCCGCGCUUCGGCUAGGAUGCUGGCGUAAUGGUCGUAAUCCGCCCGUCUUGAAACACGGACCAAGGAGUCUAACAUCUAUGCGAGUGUUCGGGUGUCAAACCCCUACGCGUAAUGAAAGUGAACGGAGGUGAGAACCGCAAGGUGCAUCAUCGACCGAUCCUGAUGUCUUCGGAUGGAUUUGAGUAAGAGCAUAGCUGUUGGGACCCGAAAGAUGGUGAACUAUGCCUGAAUAGGGUGAAGCCAGAGGAAACUCUGGUGGAGGCUCGCAGCGGUUCCUGACGUGCAAAUCGAUCGUCAAAUUUGGGUAUAGGGGCGAAAGACUAAUCGAACCAUCUAGUAGCUGGUUCCUGCCGAAGU
rnacentral:rRNA from 1 species